AGAGUUUGAUCCUGGCUCAGAAUGAACGUUGGCGGCGUGGAUUAGGCAUGCAAGUCGUACGCUCCGCAAGGGGCGUGGCGCAAGGGUGAGUAAGGCGACGGCAACCAACCCCGAGGAUGGGCAUAGCCGCGGGAAACUGCGGGUAAUACCCAGCGAUGUCACCGAGAGGACAUCCUCUUGUGACCAAAGGUGUGAUUCCGCCUUGGGACGGACCGUCGUGGUAUCAGCUAGAUGGCGGGGUAAUGGCCCACCAUGGCAUUGACGCCUACCGGGCGUGCGAGCGUGGCCCGGCACACUGGGACUGAGACACUGCCCAGACUCCUACGGGAGGCUGCAGUCGAGAAUCUUCGGCAAUGGGCGCAAGCCUGACCGAGCGACGCCGCGUGGAGGACGAAGGCCUUCGGGUUGUAAACUCCUGUCGGGGGGGAACAAGGGGCGGUGCAGAGCCGUCCUUGAGUGAUCCCCGGAGGAAGCACGGGCUAAGUUCGUGCCAGCAGCCGCGGUAAGACGAACCGUGCGAACGUUAUUCGGAAUCACUGGGCUUAAAGCGCGUGUAGGCGGACCGGCACGUCUGGUGCUGAAAUCCCCCGGCUCAACCGGGGAAGUGGCACGGAUACGACCGGUCUGGAGGGGGGGUAGGGGGGCGCCGGAACUUCCGGUGGAGCGGUGAAAUGCGUUGAGAUCGGAAGGAACGCCCGUGGCGAAAGCGGGCGCCUGGACCCCACCUGACGCUGAGACGCGAAAGCCAGGGGAGCGAACGGGAUUAGAUACCCUAGUAGUCC
rnacentral:rRNA from 1 species